rnacentral:rRNA from 1 species
CUUAGCCAUAAACAUAAAUAGUUCAUAACACUACUAUUCGCCAGAGAACUACAAGCCACCGCUUAAAACUCAAAGGACUUGGCGGUGCUUUAUAUCCAUCUAGAGGAGCCUGUUCCAUAAUCGAUGAUCCCCGAUCUACCUUACCACUCCUUGCUAAUUCAGCCUAUAUACCGCCAUCUUCAGCUGACCCUAAAAAGGAAACAAAGUAAGCUAAAAAAGUAAAUACUAAAGAAGUUAGGUCAAGGUGUAGCCCAUGGAGUGGAGCGAAAUGGGCUACAUUUUCUAAUUCUAGAACAUCACGAAACUCUAUGUGAAACCCAUAGAAUAAAGGAGGAUUUAGUAGUAAAUUAAAACUAGAGUGUUUAAUUGAAUAGAGCAAUGAAGCACG